rnacentral:rRNA from 1 species
UAGUCCACGCCGUAAACGAUGGAUACUAGCUGUUCGGUCGCAAGACUGAGUGGCUAAGCGAAAGUGAUAAGUAUCCCACCUGGGGAGUACGUUCGCAAGAAUGAAACUCAAAGGAAUUGACGGGGGCCCGCACAAGCGGUGGAGCAUGUGGUUUAAUUCGAUGAUACGCGAGGAACCUUACCAGGGCUUAAAUGUAGUCUGACAGGGCCAGAAAUGGCUUUUUCUUCGGACAGAUUACAAGGUGCUGCAUGGUUGUCGUCAGCUCGUGCCGUGAGGUGUCAGGUUAAGUCCUAUAACGAGCGCAACCCCUGUUGUUAGUUGUCAUCGAGUAAUGUCGGGAACUCUAACAAGACUGCCGGUGCAAACCGUGAGGAAGGUGGGGAUGACGUCAAAUCAUCACGGGCCCUUACGUCCUGGGGCCACACACGUGCUACAAUGGUAGGGGACAGGAGAGCAGCCACUACGCGAGUAGGGAGCGAAUCU